AAUAGUUUCUGGAUAAAUGUUAUAGGUGACCCAGAGGGACAUAGAAAGAUGAUGGGAAAUAAGGGGACUACAGCAUAUUUCCAGUGUUGAUGUCCAGUCUGAUGCCAACGAGUGAAAUAGGCUAUGUCCCUCCCCCACAAAAAAAGAUACAUGGUUGGAAUAGUAAGUUAAUUAUGUAGCAAGAAUGAGAGAUUACAUUUAGACAGCUCAUAUGCAGCAGUGGUAUCCAUGACAUGUAAAAAAGACCUAGAAGAAGGCUUUCCAGAACAUUAGGUAAUUUUUCUGUUGAGGAUUAUGGAUAACAUGGAUAAAAAUAGCAUAAAAAGAGAAAAUUGCCAGGGUUGCAAUCUGUACAAGAGGAAAGAAUAUAUACAUUGAUGAGAUCACUAAUUCCAUGAAGUAUAUCAUUAAUCUGUGAUUUUUUUCCCAUCAUUUGAAACCUUCCCUCUUUUAAUAAUCUUAAAAAUCAAUACCUGAAUUAUUUUUAAAUUUUCUUUACCUACAGCAAUAUUUCUUCCAUGUAAAUCUAGUUGGAUCUUCUUCCUCUUCCUCUUCCUCUUCCUCUUCUUCUUCUUCUUCUUCUUCUUCUUCUUCUUCUUCUUCUUUUCUUCUUUUCUCUUCCUCCUCCUUCCUGUUGUAUAUCUUUUGAUCAUCUAAAAUAAUAAAAUUGUUAUAAUUGGUAUCUUUUAGAAGCUU
rnacentral:lncRNA from 1 species